UCAAAUUUAGGUGGAGCCAUGCCGUCAGUGUCCCAAACUGGAUCAGGAAAAGCAGUCUUACUGGUCAAGGACUCAAUCAACAAGGCAAGAGCUCUUUUACAAGGUGGAGUGUUCCAAACUGAAUCAGAAAAAGCAGUCUUACUGGGCAAGGACUCAAUCCAGGAGGCAACAGCAACUUUACAAGGCCUUGGUUCCCUGGUUACCCUGCUGCUGUUCCUGCUGGGUAUAUGAUUCCACAGGUGCCAUAUAAUGAUGCUGUGAACUAUGGACCUAAUGGUUAUGCUGGUGAUGGUUGUGGUAGGUACCAAAACAACAAGGUUUGUGUCUGCUGCUGCAUUUCUCUUGUUGCUGUUUUUUUUCCAACCUCUAUGCAUGUUUUAAUUUGAAUUGCUCGCUCUUUUCCAA